GCCUACGGCCAUGCUACCCUGAACGUGCCCAAUCUCAUGUGAUCUCAGAAGCUAAACAGGGUUGGGCUUGGUUAGUACUUGGGUAGUAGACCACCUAGAAAUACCAGGUGCUGUAGGCG
rnacentral:rRNA from 1 species